rnacentral:rRNA from 1 species
UACGAAGGGGGCUAGCGUUACUCGGAUUGACUGGGCGUAAAGGGCGCGUAGGCGGAUGGUACAGUCAGACGUGAAAUUCCUGGGCUCAACCUGGGGGCUGCGUUUGAUACGUGCUGUCUGGAGUUCGGAAGAGGGUCGUGGAAUUCCCAGUGUAGAGGUGAAAUUCGUAGAUAUUGGGAAGAACACCGGUGGCGAAGGCGGCGACCUGGUCCGAUACUGACGCUGAGGCGCGAAAAGCGUGGGGAGCAAACAGGG